AGUUUUAAAUACUCAAGAGUCCCCCAAAAUACUCUAAGCAAACCAAAACCAAAAGAAACCAAGGAAAAUAGAAAUUAUUACAAGGAAAAACUCAAUGAACGUCAAGAUACUGAACCAAUACAAAUGCUCUGUUGAAGAACGUCUUUUCUAAUGAAAUAUGAUUUCUGACGUGCUCUGAUUUUCCAUCUGUUUUACCACACAGGAGCUGCAAGAACUGCACUCAGCUAUGGAAGAAGCUAGAGCUGAUAUUGUUGGCCUCUGGGCCCUACGAUUUCUAAUUGGUCAGUAUUUACAUGUAUCUUGAAACUUGAUCAAGUAUUAGUCUGUAGCUCUCCAUAAGCUUAUGAUUUUGUAUGGGAUGCAUUUUUAAUGCUGCUUGGUGCAUGAUUUAUGGAAUGCCAAUAGUGAGUAGCA